AUUAGGUUGGCAGAUUAAUGUAUUAGAUUUAGAGUCUUAUAAUGUAAUUUAUUUUACACUUAGUACUUGAUUU
rnacentral:tRNA from 1 species